CAGUGCCAUAUCAGAUCCAAUGAGGAAGUUCAAGAUGAUUCCCCUGCUGAAUGCACAGAUGAGGAUGGAAUCAUGCAUCCAAUGAACUCAUCAUGGAUCUCUGAGAAGUGUGAAGAGUGCUACUGCCUUAAAAAUGGAAUUCAGUAUUACAAUAAAGUUGCAAUACCUGUACAUUAUGACAGAAUCAAGUGCACUGAAAUUUUUCACAAGGAAAACUGCAACUACACCAUGGUGGAUAGUCAAGACCCACAAAAACUUUGUGCUGUGGAAGCUUGGAUAAUUUAAUGCCCUCCAGUGAACUGUAUACUCCCUGGACAUGCCUCCUAAUCUUUCAGCCUCUAAUAAUCUGUGAUGAUAUAGUCCUAUCUAGUAGUAAAAUCAUUUUUGA